CAGCCGCCGCGGUAAUACGUAGGGUGCAAGCGUUAAUCGGAAUUACUGGGCGUAAAGCGUGCGCAGGCGGUUAUAUAAGACAGAUGUGAAAUCCCCGGGCUCAACCUGGGAACUGCAUUUGUGACUGUAUAGCUAGAGUACGGCAGAGGGGGAUGGAAUUCCGCGUGUAGCAGUGAAAUGCGUAGAUAUGCGGAGGAACACCGAUGGCGAAGGCAAUCCCCUGGGCCUGUACUGACGCUCAUGCACGAAAGCGUGGGGAGCAAACAGGAUUAGAGACCCGAGUAGUCCCUGUCUCUUAUAC
rnacentral:rRNA from 1 species